GACGAACGCUGGCGGCGUGCUUAACACAUGCAAGUCGAACGGAAAGGCCCUGCUUUUGUGGGGUGCUCGAGUGGCGAACGGGUGAGUAACACGUGAGUAACCUGCCCUUGACUUUGGGAUAACUUCAGGAAACUGGGGCUAAUACCGGAUAGGAGCUCCUGCUGCAUGGUGGGGGUUGGAAAGUUUCGGCGGUUGGGGAUGGACUCGCGGCUUAUCAGCUUGUUGGUGGGGUAGUGGCUUACCAAGGCUUUGACGGGUAGCCGGCCUGAGAGGGUGACCGGCCACAUUGGGACUGAGAUACGGCCCAGACUCCUACGGGAGGCAGCAGUGGGGAAUAUUGCACAAUGGGCGGAAGCCUGAUGCGGCAACGCCGCGUACGGGAUGACGGCCUUCGGGUUGUAAACCGCUUUCGCCUGUGACGAAGCGUGAGUGACGGUAAUGGGUAAAGAAGCACCGGCUAACUACGUG
rnacentral:rRNA from 1 species